GUGAGCUGGUCCAACUAUUUUGGGAUGGGAGUGAACACCGAGGGGCUGAUCAUCAUCGGAGGCCUCAUCGAGUCCUUCGAGAUCCCCUUUAAGGGCGCUCUCCAGCAGCUGACCUUCGUGAUGGGAGACCCAGGAGCUGCUGCUGAGCAGUGCCACAGCUACAACUCAACCUGCCCAGGCUCCUCCAGCCUCCACAGGGCCCCGUGGGAGCUCCCAACAGCCUGGCCAGAGGUGCCAAAGGAAACCAAUGAAAUCCAGGAUUCAUCUACUCAGGAUUCCAGACUCACCAGUUCAGAUUCGGCCCCGGGGUCACCUUGGCCAUGGGAGGAUGCCCAGGGGACCCUCAGCCUCCAGCCUGAUGGGAGUGCCCUGGCUUCCCUCUCUGCUCAUGAGUUGCCAUCAGCUGAGGAGGAGGAGGAGGAGGAGGGCAGCCUUUCCAUUGAGGAUGAAGGUUUUGAGCUGCUGAACUCCACCUACAAUAAAAUCACCGGUCCCGGCAGGCCAGCGCUCAGGAGAAGCUCAGGUGAGUCCACAAUUCUCCUCCUUUUCUCCAGCACAAUUUCUGGGAAUCUGACAGUGCUUCAUCCACCCAGCAGCCUCCAUCAAACCCCCCCGAGCAGCCAGGAAGGAGCGUGGCUCUGAUCCCCGUGAGGAGAACGUCACCACGGAGAAGCUGUCGGGGGACGCUGGCGCGCGGUGGCGGCUCCCACCUGGCAAACCUCACCUGGACCCCGUCCCCAAGGUGUCCCCACCUGCUCAUCGGGGGGCUGCUCCCAAAGGAAACGUCCCCAAAGGUCCCCUGAGGGCAGGGGUAGCGCUGGGUGUCCCGCAGCCUCCUCUUGGAGC
rnacentral:lncRNA from 1 species